GUGCCUCAGCAGCACAUACACCGAAAUUGAGAGGAUACAGAGAAGAUGAGUGGGGCCUUUGAGCAAGGAUGACACACAAAUUCAUAAAGCAUUCCAUUAAAGA